UGGGAAUAUUGCGCAAUGGGCGAAAGCCUGACGCAGCGACGCCGCGUGAGGGAUGAAGGUCUUCGGAUCGUAAACCUCUGUCAGCAGGGAAGAACGGUCACUGUGCUAAUCAGCAGUGAAUUGACGGUACCUGCAAAGGAAGCACCGGCUAACUCCGUGCC
rnacentral:rRNA from 1 species